rnacentral:rRNA from 1 species
CCUACGGGGGGCAGCAGUGGGGAAUAUUGCGCAAUGGGCGAAAGCCUGACGCAGCGACGCCGCGUGAGGGAUGAAGGUCCUCGGAUCGUAAACCUCUGUUAGCAGGGAAGAACGGUCACUGUGCUAAUCAGCAGUGAAUUGACGGUACCUGCAAAGGAAGCACCGGCUAACUCCGUGCCAGCAGCCGCGGUAAUACGGAGGGUGCGAGCGUUGAUCGGAAUUACUGGGCGUAAAGCGCUCGUAGGCGGUAUGUCAAGUCAAGGGUGAAAUCCCCGGGCUCAACGUGGGAACUGCCUUUGAAACUGGCAAACUGGAGUGUGUGAGAGGAUAGUGGAAUUCCAGGUGUAGGAGUGAAAUCCGUAGAUAUCUGGAAGAACAUCAGUGGCGAAGGCGACUAACUGGAACAUAACUGACGCUGAGGAGCGAAAGCGUGGGUAGCAAACAGGAUUAGAUACCCGGGUAGUC